UGGGGAAUAUUGCACAAUGGGCGAAAGCCUGAUGCAGCAACGCCGCGUGAGUGAUGAAGGCCUUCGGGUUGUAAAGCUCUGUCUUCUGGGACGAUAAUGACGGUACCAGAGGAGGAAGCCACGGCUAACUACGUGCCAGCAGCCGCGGUAAUACGUAGGGGGCAAGCGUUGUCCGGAUUUACUGGGCGUAAAGGAUGCGUAGGCGGAUACUUAAGUCAGAUGUGAAAAUCCCGGGCUUAACUUGGGAACUGCAUUUGAAACUGGGUAUCUAGAGUGCGGGAGAGGAAAGUGGAAUUCCUAGUGUAGCGGUGAAAUGCGUAGAGAUUAGGAAGAACACCAGUGGCGAAGGCGACUUUCUGGACCGUAACUGACGCUGAGGCAUGAAAGCGUGGGGAGCAAACA
rnacentral:rRNA from 1 species